GACGAACGCUGGCGGCUUGCUUAACACAUGCAAGUCGAACGGAAAGGCCUGCUUUCCCUUGUGGAUUGCGGGUACUCGAGUGGCGAACGGGUGAGUAACACGUGAGUGAUCUGCCCCCAACUUGGGUAUAAGCCUGGGAAACUGGGUCUAAUUCCCGAUAGGACUGCAGGGUGGUGCCUGUGGUGGAAAACGAUUUUCUAGUGGUUGGGGAUGAGCUCGCGGCCUAUCAGCUUGUUGGUGGGGUAAUGGCCUACCAAGGCGGCGACGGGUAGCCGGCCUGAGAGGGUGGACGGCCACAUUGGGACUGAGAUACGGCCCAGACUCCUACGGGAGGCAGCAGUGGGGAAUAUUGCACAAUGGGCGGAAGCCUGAUGCAGCGACGCCGCGUGGGGGAUGACGGCCUUCGGGUUGUAAACUCCUUUCGACCGCGAGGAAGCCACCUGGUUGGAAGGGUGGUGACGGUAGUGGUAGAAGAAGCACCGGCUAACUACGUG
rnacentral:rRNA from 1 species